UCCUUUCUCUAAUCAGUGAAAUUAAUCUCCCCGUGAAGAAGCGGGGAUAUACCUAUAAGACGAGAAGACCCCAUGGAGCUUCAAACCCAACUACACCCCUAACUCCUAUAACCACUGAGCCCUAAGAGUCCUGUAUCGUUGGUUUUAGGUUGGGGCGACCACGGAGUACAACAAAACCUCCACAACGAACGGGAUUACUCCCUCAUCUAAGAACUACACCUCUAAGAAUUAGUAGACUAACAUAAAAUGACCCAUUUUUGAUCAAUGAACCAAGUUACCCUGGGGAUAACAGCGCAAUCCAUUUCAAGAGCCCUUAUCGACAAAUGGGUUUACGA
rnacentral:rRNA from 1 species